CAGUCGAGCGAGAAGAGUAGCAAUACGUUUGUAAAGCGGCGAACGGGUGAGGAAUACAUGGGUAACCUACCCUAGAGUGGGGAAUAACUAGCCGAAAGGUUAGCUAAUACCGCGUACGCUCCUUGGACUUCGGUUCAGGGAGGAAAGCGCUACCGAGGGUAGCGCGCUCUUGGAUGGGCUCAUGUCCUAUCAGCUUGUUGGUGAGGUAACGGCUCACCAAGGCUUCGACGGGUAGCUGGUCUGAGAGGACGAUCAGCCACACUGGCACUGCGACACGGGCCAGACUCCUACGGGAGGCAGCAGUAAGGAAUAUUGCGCAAUGGGCGAAAGCCUGACGCAGCGACGCCGCGUGGGGGAUGAAGGUCUUCGGAUUGUAAACCCCUUUCGGGAGGGAAGAUGGAAUGGGGUAACCCAUUCGGACGGUACCUCCAGAAGCAGCCACGGCUAACUUCGUGCCAGCAGCCGCGGUAAUACGAAGGUGGCAAGCGUUAUUCGGAUUUACUGGGCGUACAGGGAGCGUAGGCGGUUCGGUAAGCCCUCUGUGAAAUCUCCAGGCUUAACCUGGAAAAGUCGGGGGGGACUGCUGGGCUAGAGGACGGGAGAGGAGCGCGGAAUUCCCGGUGUAGCGGUGAAAUGCGUAGAGAUCGGGAGGAAGGCCGGUGGCGAAGGCGGCGCUCUGGAACGUUUCUGACGCUGAGGCUCGAAAGCGUGGGGAGCAAACAGGAUUAGAUACCCUGGUAGUCCACGCCUUAAACUAUGAAUACUAAGUGUCGGCGGUUUACCGCCGGUGCCGCAGCUAACGCAUUAAGUAUUCCGCCUGGGAAGUACGGCC
rnacentral:rRNA from 1 species